CUUUUUUAAACUUAACAAUUAAAGUUAUUUUUACUUGUGAAGAAGCAGUAAUAAAAAUUAAGGACAAGAAGACCCUAAGAAUUUUUCGAUACAUAUUUCAAUAAAGAAAAUAUGUUUCUUUAAUUGGGGCGAUUAAUUAAUAUUAAAAACUUUUUUGAAAAAACAUGAACCGUUUAAUAGCGGUAAAUUGGUAAAAAUACUCUAGGGAUAACAGCGUAAUAAUUUUUGAUAGUUCAUAUUGACAAAAUA
rnacentral:rRNA from 1 species